rnacentral:rRNA from 1 species
AAUAGAUACCCAGGUAGUCCACGCCGUAAACGAUGAGUGCUAAGUGUUAGAGGGUUUCCGCCCUUUAGUGCUGCAGCUAACGCAUUAAGCACUCCGCCUGGGGAGUACGGCCGCAAGGCUGAAACUCAAAGGAAUUGACGGGGGCCCGCACAAGCGGUGGAGCAUGUGGUUUAAUUCGAAGCAACGCGAAGAACCUUACCAGGUCUUGACAUCCUCUGCCACUCCUAGAGAUAGGACGUUCCCCUUCGGGGGACAGAGUGACAGGUGGUGCAUGGUUGUCGUCAGCUCGUGUCGUGAGAUGUUGGGUUAAGUCCCGCAACGAGCGCAACCCUUGUUCUUAGUUGCCAGCAUUCAGUUGGGCACUCUAAGGAGACUGCCGGUGACAAACCGGAGGAAGGUGGGGAUGACGUCAAAUCAUCAUCGCCCCUUAUGACCGUGGGCUACACACGUGCUACAAUGGAUGGUACAAGGGCUGCGAAACCGCGAGGUUAAGCCAAUCCCAUAAACCAUUCUCAGUUCGGA